UACGUAGGGGGCUAGCGUUGUCCGGAAUCAUUGGGCGUAAAGAGCGUGUAGGCGGCCCGGUAAGUCCGCUGUGAAAGUCGGAGGCUCAACCUUCGAAAGCCGGUCGAUACUGCCGGACUAGAGUUCGGAAGAGGCGAGUGGAAUUCCCGGUGUAGCGGUGAAAUGCGCAGAUAUCGGGAGGAACACCUAUGGCGAAGGCAGCUCGCUGGGACGUUACUGACGCUGAGACGCGAAAGCGUGGGGAGCAAACAGG
rnacentral:rRNA from 1 species